UGGGGAAUAUUGCACAAUGGGCGCAAGCCUGAUGCAGCCAUGCCGCGUGUAUGAAGAAGGCCUUCGGGUUGUAAAGUACUUUCAGCGGGGAGGAAGGGAGUAAAGUUAAUACCUUUGCUCAUUGACGUUACCCGCAGAAGAAGCACCGGCUAACUCCGUGCCAGCAGCCGCGGUAAUACGGAGGGUGCAAGCGUUAAUCGGAAUUACUGGGCGUAAAGCGCACGCAGGCGGUUUGUUAAGUCAGAUGUGAAAUCCCCGGGCUCAACCUGGGAACUGCAUCUGAUACUGGCAAGCUUGAGUCUCGUAGAGGGUGGUAGAAUUCCAGGUGUAGCGGUGAAAUGCGUAGAGAUCUGGAGGAAUACCGGUGGCGAAGGCGGCCCCCUGGACAAAGACUGACGCUCAGGUGCGAAAGCGUGGGGAGCAAACAGG
rnacentral:rRNA from 1 species